rnacentral:lncRNA from 1 species
GGCGCACUGGCUGCGUUCCCUGCCCUGGGCCUCGCUAAGGUUCCAUGCGGGGUGCGCGGAGCUGGAGAAGGAAGAUGCGAAUUCUGCACUUCCCCGAGAUCCCAUAGAGAAUCCUUUAAAAUCCCAGUAUGCCCCAGGGAAACAGAGCUCAUCACAGUGCACCACCACACACAUUCGCAUUGCUCAGAAUCCAAGGGACACAAAAGAGAGACUUAUUGGCCGGGUUGGACACACAGCAUUGGGCUUCCAGCCUCUGUCUCGGAGUCCUGCCCAGAAGGCCCAGACCACCUCCUGCUUGAGAUCAACGCCCUCCCCACCCCAAGUCCCAUCACUGGAGCUGAGUGCUGCUGCUGUAUGAGAUGCCUCCAACACCGAGAAGCACUCUAAUCAUCCUAGCAGACUUUAAUAAUAACUUAUUCACAAACUCCAACUAGUAUGGGCCUUGCCAGGCCCCAUGAGAAGUACUCGGCUACAUUAUCUCACCCAGUCCUCAUAGCUCUGUGAGACCAAUGCUUCAUAAGCCCCACUUUUGCAGAUAGGGGCCCCCAAGUUAGAAGUCAGCUCACUCACUUGAGAUCGCACAGCCAGAGGUUAAGCCAGAAUUCACACAUGGGCUGCCAGGCUCACAGCCUCUGUCCUCAAUCCCUGUUCUACCCAGCCUACGGCAGCAGAUACCCAUAACUUACGCUUCAUCAGGGAUUGGAUUUGAUUUAGGGGAUUGUUGGUAUUAAAUACAUUUCAUUUUCCUUUAAUAAAUGAAAACUAGUAAUGAGUAUUUAUGAUGACUCUCAGCUACCAGGGUAUUCCAUCAGCUGCAACUGGCCAUGAACCAACCCUCUGUCCCUUCACACAGCAACAUUCAUUCAACCCCAUGUCUCAGUACUAGGGAAACAGAAAGAUGGUCAUUGAUCUUCAAGG